CGAAUGCUGACAUAAGUAACGAUAAAGCGGGUGAAAAGCCCGCUCGCCGGAAGACCAAGGGUUCCUGUCCAACGUUAAUCGGGGCAGGGUGAGUCGACCCCUAAGGCGAGGCCGAAAGGCGUAGUCGAUGGGAAACAGGUUAAUAUUCCUGUACUUGGUGUUACUGCGAAGGGGGGACGGAGAAGGCUAUGUUGGCCGGGCGACGGUUGUCCCGGUUUAAGCGUGUAGGCUGGUUUUCCAGGCAAAUCCGGAAAAUCAAGGCUGAGGCGUGAUGACGAGGCACUACGGUGCUGAAGCAACAAAUGCCCUGCUUCCAGGAAAAGCCUCUAAGCAUCAGGUAACAUCAAAUCGUACCCCAAACCGACACAGGUGGUCAGGUAGAGAAUACCAAGGCGCUUGAGAGAACUCGGGUGAAGGAACUAGGCAAAAUGGUGCCGUAACUUCGGG
rnacentral:rRNA from 1 species